rnacentral:rRNA from 1 species
GAUGAACGCUGGCGGCGUGCCUAAUACAUGCAAGUCGAGCGAAUGGAUUAAGAGCUUGCUCUUAUGAAGUUAGCGGCGGACGGGUGAGUAACACGUGGGUAACCUGCCCAUAAGACUGGGAUAACUCCGGGAAACCGGGGCUAAUACCGGAUAACAUUUUGAACCGCAUGGUUCGAAAUUGAAAGGCGGCUUCGGCUGUCACUUAUGGAUGGACCCGCGUCGCAUUAGCUAGUUGGUGAGGUAACGGCCCACCAAGGCAACGAUGCGUAGCCGACCUGAGAGGGUGAUCGGCCACACUGGGACUGGGACACGGCCCAGACUCCUACGGGAGGCAGCAGUAGGGAAUCUUCCGCAAUGGACGAAAGUCUGACGGAGCAACGCCGCGUGAGUGAUGAAGGCUUUCGGGUCGUAAAACUCUGUUGUUAGGGAAGGACAAGUGCUAGUUGAAUAAGCUGGCACCUUGACGGUACCUAACCAGAAAGCCACGGCUAACUACGUGCCAGCAGCCGCGGUAA